UGCAGUCGAACGAUGACGGCCGUGCUUGCACGGUCUGAUUAGUGGCGAACGGGUGAGUAACACGUGAGUAACCUGCCCUCCACUUCGGGAUAACCUCGGGAAAUCGUGGCUAAUACCGGAUAUGAGCACUCAUCGCAUGGUGGGUGUUGGAAAGAUUUAUCGGUGGGGGAUGGACUCGCGGCCUAUCAGUUUGUUGGUGAGGUGAUGGCUCACCAAGACGAUGACGGGUAGCCGGCCUGAGAGGGCGACCGGCCACACUGGGACUGAGACACGGCCCAGACUCCUACGGGAGGCAGCAGUGGGGAAUAUUGCACAAUGGGCGAAAGCCUGAUGCAGCGACGCCGCGUGAGGGAUGACGGCCUUCGGGUUGUAAACCUCUUUCAGUAGGGAAGAAGCGAGAGUGACGGUACCUGCAGAAGAAGCGCCGGCUAACUACGUGCCAGCAGCCGCGGUAAUACGUAGGGCGCAAGCGUUGUCCGGAAUUAUUGGGCGUAAAGAGCUUGUAGGUGGCUUGUCGCGUCUGCCGUGAAAACCCGAGGCUCAACCUCGGGCGUGCGGUGGGUACGGGCAGGCUAGAGUGUGGUAGGGGAGACUGGAACUCCUGGUGUAGCGGUGAAAUGCGCAGAUAUCAGGAAGAACACCGAUGGCGAAGGCAGGUCUCUGGGCCAU
rnacentral:rRNA from 1 species